UAUAUUGAAAGAAAGAGAGAAAACAAAAGUAAAGCAUGCCAAACAGAUAAACUUAAUCGCAGCUUUUGGUUGCUACUUUUAUAUGCCAUACUUUCACCAUUGUGGUAUAUUUACUCACUAAUGCUUCAUGACAUUACUACAUAUUGUAAUGUCACAUUGUUAUUACAUGACUGCACAUAUUCAACCUAAUUGCAUAAUUAUCUAUAAUUGCACUAAUUCGGUAAAGACAUAAUUGACUAAAAUCAACAAGGAAAUACUGCCAAUAGGAAAAAGGACAUUAGAGGAAGCAGGGCUUGUUGUUUUCCCCCUCUCAAAUUAACUCUCUGAAAGCAUUCAGGUGUCCUUUAAAUGUGCUCCCAUCCACCUGGGGACUGCUUAUCGGUGAGUAGAUCCCAUUUGGUGGGAGAAAGUCAGGAUCAACCCAGUGUGCAUGUGGCAGAUUCAAAUGGAAUCAGCACCCAAAUGAGUUGAGGAUACAGGGCACAAACAUGGGCGCUCAUGUGUGGAAAGGCUAUACUUUGGCCAUGGGGGGAAAUGAAGCUAAAUGGUAAAUAACAAAGAACUGGAUUUGACUGGUUAGCUGGAUCCUUCCUUUCCUUUGCCCCACCUGCCGCGGGCCAUCUUUGGCAGGUUGGUGCGACUGCCCACCUGCCAAUCAUCUGAUGCCAGGUGACAACUUGAAAGGGGCUUGCUGAGUCUGCUUGAAUACUGUCUGUCAGCACUGAUCAUCUGAUGGGUGCUAACAGUCAUCCCCUUUGAAGUCCACUGGUAGGCAGUUUGUAUUCAUCUGAUGGGUGCUGAGAGCCAUCCCCUUUGAAGUCCGUUUGCAAGCAGUUUGAAUACUAGCUGCUGCAGACUUCCUCAUGGCCAUCAGUUGAUCAGCACCUAUCUUCUAUCAGGGAGUUCCAGAUGAGCUGCGAGAUCCAUUCUGUGGGAGGAUCAGAUCCACCUGCAUCAUCAUCAUCACAUCCCUGGGUAGUGACUGAGCUAAAGGCCAUUAGCUGAUUCUGAUUGGAUGGUGAUACUGUGAUGUGGCUGGGCCACAUGAUGCUACAACAUGCUUGCUUUUCUUCACCAAAACAUUUGCAAUCUAUCAAUACCCUCCUAGAAAUGCGCUGGCCAGAUGUUUAACCCACAGCACCACCCGCGUCCCCAGAUGUACUGUAGUUCUUUUAAAUAAAUGUAUUCUCCACACCCACUCCAUUCUAGGCUAAGAAUGAUGUUGACCUUCUUGUGCCACAGCAUCCCACACAGGACUUUUGUUGUUGCUUCUGAUGCUGCAACUUCUAAUUCACCCCCCCCCCUUUUUGCCAAACUAAUGCACAAUCAGUUUGAUCCUAGCUUGUGCCUGUGUGUGUGGUCACUUCUUCCUAUGUGGGAUUGCCAACUUCUUUUACUGGUCUUUUUCGUCUUGGUUGUCUCUUCUGGCACCAUAUUUCCUGCUUGCUCCUUGUUUAUCUGGUAGGUGGUGGUACUCCCACUGUGAACUUGUUUAUUUCAUUUAUCCAGCACGUUCCCAACUUCUGCUGCUGUGCUGGUCACUCACGUUAUUGGCCUACCCUGGCAAGUACGUGCUGGGACAUUAUUGGGGCAGGGAUUUUGACCCUCCCAACAUAUUUGACUUCUUGCAUGUAUCCGGGUUGAGGUAGUAGGUUGUAUGGUUUAGAAUUACACCAAGGGAGAUAACUGUACAACCUCCUAGCUUUCCCUGGGUCUUGCACAAAACAGCGAGCAUGGUGAAAAGGCUAUAAACCUUCAAGAAUGUUUUGCUGUCCACGGUCAAAUUGAGAAACAACAGACUUCCUGGAGAAUGUGGCAGUAUUGCAAGCAAACGUGGACCUUUUGCAGUGGGCACAGGAACAGCUAUUUUGUACCUUUCAGCCCUUGAGCGAUGGAGCAAAAGGAGAAAGAAACAGGUGGAAAGGUAAUGUGUCAAGAUAUGGACAGAUUUCUCACUUUGUCUCACACCUUGGAUAGUGCUGGGUCUAAAUAAUGCCUGUUUUGAGAUUUCUCUGUUUUCCUUUUACUUGCCUAUUACUACAGUGCAUUACAAGAUACCUUCGAUUUUUCCUUGUUAAUUUGCUGGAUGUUUUAAUGAAAACGAAGGGAAAUACCAUCAGUCCUAGAUUCUUAGUUUAUUUUGCAAAGCCCAAAUGAGCAUUGCUCUGGAAUGAGUGGUGGAAGAAAAGAAACUUCAGAAAGUUCAGAAAUGCAUUGCUCUAAAAAGCAGGGUUUCUGGUCUGCUGUAAAGGGUGAAAGGUAGAUAGGAUCAGAGAAACAAGGUGUGUAGCUGUGAUGCAGCAACUGCAUGCCCUGGUGUUCCAGCAGCAUGUUAAUACACCAAGGAUGAUGUGCAGAGGUUCAUGAUAUCUCAAUAAAUCCUGUUUGCAGCUGUGAAAAUCUGAACAAGAGAACUCCAGUUCAUUCCAUAGUAGCUGAAAUGUAAUAUUAAAUUAAAUGCAAUGGAUGAGUUGUGGCUGACAUUUUCUUCUUCUUCAGGGGAUAUUUUUAAAAAGACAAGGUGUGCUAAACCAAAAAGGGGUUUGCAUCCAAGACCUCAGGGGCAGGAGGCUUCCCAGCAUCACCCACUGACACUGGAAAUUUGAGGCUGGCUACUUCAUUCACUCCAAGUGGAAGAGGCCUUGUUGCCUCUAAGAUGUCUCUGUGGCACACAAAAUAUUUGCAAUACUUGUCGCAUUGCAGAAACACUUCAAGGCUGGGUUUCGUUACUUCCCCAUUUCUUAAUGGGGUGAUGUGUAUCUGAAAGCACCACAGGUAACUGGUGUGAUCCUCCAUGAGAGCUGGUUGAAUGUUAUGAUCAGGGAUGGUGGUGGGCAUUUUUGGAUGGUCCAUAGCUCAGCAAGGGCCUCCUGACAAAAGGUUCCUGAACCUGCUGCAUUAUGGAGGUAGACUCACUGAGAACGUGGUGCGUGGAGGAUAUCUUCUCCAGGAGCCCUCAAAAACUGAGUGACACUGUCCACAGAACAAAACUCAGCUGAGCUAUGGAACUCCUGUAUAGCCAUUGGAAAACCAUCAUCUUUCUUCCACAACCCCCUCCUUGUUAGCUGGCUUGGGCUACUCCAGAUGCUUGGGCUACUCCAGAUGCUGUAGAACUCCAAGUUCCAACAUCUCCAGGUAGGGCUUGGAAAGACUCUUGUCUGAAACUCUGGAAAACCACUGCCCAUCAGUGCCCUGAGCUAGUUGGACCUAAGGAUAGGAGAGAAAGUGGACUCAGUUUGGACUUGAAGGCAACGUACCUAAAUUUGCACUUCCCAAAAUAAUAUGCGAACCAGAACACAGAUGUCCUCUGAAAUCUUCACUUCUCCAAAUUUUGUGUAGCCGUUCCCUCACCGAUUAAUGUGCAUAUCCUGGGAGAUAGUAUGCAUAAAUGCAUAUAUUAGUGAAAAAUAACUUUUAAAAAAUGAAUUCUGUUGAGGGGAAUUGCAUGUGAAAAUAGGUAAAAUUGCAUUAAAUAUGUGCAUAUGAGGAGAAAUUUGCACUGAACUCGGGCAGGAGCAUGUUUAUAUAAUUUAUAAAAGGGCAGUUUAAGUCAUUCUAUCCCAGCACACUCCAGUGUUGUAGUAUAAUAGCUGCCUCAGCUGCCUGCAAGCCAAUUAAGAAGUUCAAAUAAUUGGUGCCACAAAUUCAUACUCAGGCUGCAAUCCUAUAUACACUAAGUCCAAGUGAACUCAUUGGGGCUUAAUUCUGAAUAGACAUGCAUAAGACUGUACUUUAAGUUGUCUUAUACCAUGAUGCAAGUUUCAUUACCCUCACCUUACAGACUGAAGGAGGCUUGGAGAGCAGUGACUUGUCUAUUGAGUUUAGAUGAUGGAGAAAUUUUGUUUUCUGUUGUUCCAGAGAAUAGAACCCAAUCCAACAGGUUCAAAUUAUAAGAAAGGGAUUUCAGUUGAACAUGAGAAAGACCUUUCUGAUGGCGUGAAGCCAGUCAACCUCCAAUGUGAAUGACUUUAAAUGAAGAUUAAACAAAUUCAUACA